CAUCGGGGGAGGCGGAGGAGGCAUCGGGGGAGGAGGUGGAGGCAUCGGAGGAGGCGGAGGAUUUCCAUUCCCAGGAUAUCGUGAAGGAGAAGAGGAAGACCAUCAUUCUGGAAGACAACUAGCAAUCAUUCUGGGAGGAGGUGCCGCCGCUGUGCUGGUUGGGCUUAUCUUGCUGGCGCUGCUUGGGGGCAUGCGGAGAAAGGACGAUUACUGAGGGGAAUUUCGGAUCAAGGGGCUUCCUUUGCCUUUUCCAACUCUUUCAAGAAAUAUGACCUUUCCUUUUCUUUUCCCCCUAAUUUUUUGUACCAAUUUGCGUGAAUUUUUAGAGAGGGAAAAAGACAAAACGGUUGGAGGUCGAUGAGACCUAUCUAAAUGUCUUUCUGAUCUCAUUCUACAUGAGAGAAGUUAGUCUCAUAAUUGGAUGGAUGUUGUUCAUUAAUUUGUCUGUUGACUUCUUCAUCCAGAGUUAUACAUUUCCUAAUUCAGUC